rfam:Camelus ferus unplaced genomic scaffold scaffold625, whole genome shotgun sequence.
GAGGGUAUAGCUCAGUGGUAGAGCACAUGCUUAGCACGCAGAAGGUCCUGGGUUCAAUCCCCAGCACCCCCA